UUAUUAUUUCUUUUCGAAAAAAAAUGUUUUUGAUGAUCCAGUUUUUUUUUUCUUUUAAGAAAUUUAGAAAAAAUUUUCUUCUUUCUUCUAAAAUUGUUAUAACUCGAAAACCAUUUUUUUGCAUUUUUCUAAUUUUUUUUUCGAGUUUUUUAAAGAUGGGUUCAAAAAGUGAAAGCCGUUUUCGGGGAGAACCAAAAGGAAGUUCAGCUUCCAUUCCCAAAACUGUUAAAAAAAAAAAAUCAUUUUUUUGUACUUUUUUUUUCAUUUUCGUUUGAUCUUUAUGAGAGAAUUUUAACUUAGAUUUGUACCAAGGUUUUAGACGAAAAGGAAAUAGGAUCUUUAUUUGAAUCCCGUCUAUUAACCAGUUUUUCGGAAAUUCUUUUUCUGAUAAUUGAACUCCAUUAUAGGUGCAUUUAACAUGCAUUUCUCUACUCCAAUCUUUUAAAUCCUCGGACCAUUCGGGAGUUUGAAAAAAAAGUAUACGAAUGAUAUUUUUAGUUAUUAUUAAUGAAGGUAAUAUAAUAUAUUUUCUAAGAAUUGAUUGGGUUACUAAAACACAACUUCUUAUUAUUUGAGCAAAAAGAAUGCUAUCCCAGGCUUCGGCUAUUUCUAUCCGAGCUUUUUCCUCUCUUUUGUUGUCUUCUCUUUUGUCCUCUUCUUUUUUCUUACUUUCUUUUGUUUUUUUCUUUGUAUUUGAAAUUGUGAAUUCUGCGUUUUUAUACAUCCAAUUUAUAAACAUUGUUUUUAUCAGUUCGGAAAUAUCAAAAGAAAAAAAAAGAGAUUUGUCUAUUCUGUCCAAAAAAAGAGGAGAAUGCACAUUUGCUUGAAACAGUUCCCAAAUAGCUAUUUUGCGUCUUUGUGCGCGCACGGAUCCUUUUAUUAUGUCUCGGCGAAAAUCCGAUUGUUGUGAAUAAUGUAUCAAAGUCACUUCUUCUAUUUGAUCAGAAUUCGUUGUAUCUUUGGUAUUAUUAUAAGUAUCUGUAUUUUUUUUAUUAUCAGUAAAAAUCACUACCCGUUUGGCUUUUCGUGAACGAAUUUCAUAAUCUUCCGACAUGUUUUCUUCAUUUUCUCCCUCUUGUUGUUCCAAAUCGUCAAUUAAUUUGUAUGACCAUCGAGGAACUUGUUUACUUAUUUCUUUUAUUCCAGUAGAAUUUUUUAUAAUUGUUUUAUUUUUUGGAUUCGCUAUAACUGUAUGAAAUAAAAAUUUUAAAAUUUUUAUUUCAUACAGUUAUAGCGAAUCCAAAAAAUAAAACAAUUAUAAAAAAUUCUACUGGAAUAAAAGAAAUAAGUAAACAAGUUCCUCGAUGGUCAUACAAAUUAAUUGACGAUUUGGAACAACAAGAGGGAGAAAAUGAAGAAAACAUGUCGGAAGAUUAUGAAAUUCGUUCACGAAAAGCCAAACGGGUAGUGAUUUUUACUGAUAAUAAAAAAAAUACAGAUACUUAUAAUAAUACCAAAGAUACAACGAAUUCUGAUCAAAUAGAAGAAGUGACUUUGAUACAUUAUUCACAACAAUCGGAUUUUCGCCGAGACAUAAUAAAAGGAUCCGUGCGCGCACAAAGACGCAAAAUAGCUAUUUGGGAACUGUUUCAAGCAAAUGUGCAUUCUCCUCUUUUUUUGGACAGAAUAGACAAAUCUCUUUUUUUUUCUUUUGAUAUUUCCGAACUGAUAAAAACAAUGUUUAUAAAUUGGAUGUAUAAAAACGCAGAAUUCACAAUUUCAAAUACAAAGAAAAAAACAAAAGAAAGUAAGAAAAAAGAAGAGGACAAAAGAGAAGACAACAAAAGAGAGGAAAAAGCUCGGAUAGAAAUAGCCGAAGCCUGGGAUAGCAUUCUUUUUGCUCAAAUAAUAAGAAGUUGUGUUUUAGUAACCCAAUCAAUUCUUAGAAAAUAUAUUAUAUUACCUUCAUUAAUAAUAACUAAAAAUAUCAUUCGUAUACUUUUUUUUCAAACUCCCGAAUGGUCCGAGGAUUUAAAAGAUUGGAGUAGAGAAAUGCAUGUUAAAUGCACCUAUAAUGGAGUUCAAUUAUCAGAAAAAGAAUUUCCGAAAAACUGGUUAAUAGACGGGAUUCAAAUAAAGAUCCUAUUUCCUUUUCGUCUAAAACCUUGGUACAAAUCUAAGUUAAAAUUCUCUCAUAAAGAUCAAACGAAAAUGAAAAAAAAAGUACAAAAAAAUGAUUUUUUUUUUUUAACAGUUUUGGGAAUGGAAGCUGAACUUCCUUUUGGUUCUCCCCGAAAACGGCUUUCACUUUUUGAACCCAUCUUUAAAAAACUCGAAAAAAAAAUUAGAAAAAUGCAAAAAAAUGGUUUUCGAGUUAUAACAAUUUUAGAAGAAAGAAGAAAAUUUUUUCUAAAUUUCUUAAAAGAAAAAAAAAACUGGAUCAUCAAAAACAUUUUUUUUCGAAAAGAAAUAAUAA
rnacentral:misc_RNA from 1 species